ensembl:lncRNA
AACAAUAGAUUACCAAGGGAGACAGGGGUAAGGAACUGUUUACGUUCUCUGUGCCCAAAGUAUGCAUGAAAAUGACAAGUUUCCCCUUGAAGAGUAAGACAGAGUUCACAAAACCAAAGGGUAAAGAUAGUUUACAGAAGGAAAUAUGUAGAGGACAUUUAGUGAGCAAGUGAUAAGAUGUUCACAAGGCAAGUUAGAACUGGUUCAGAGGCUGCCCCUCCUGCAGGGUUAGAAGUUUAGGAGGAAGACUACGAGCCUUCACGAGGACGAUGAUGAGCCUUCAUCCCACAACCACCAGGAGGAGACCCCCACAAUCACAACGCGUGUGCAAGGGGGAGGGAUUGUAUGCUAAGGAGUACUCAGAAACAUAAUGAAUAUGUAUACAAAUUCCAGGAAAAUCACUGAUUAUGAAUUAGUUCUGCCUACAUCUUAUCUCAAGCUUUUGCUCUACAGUGUGCAAGUAAGGAGGAUCUAUCCCUCUUGCACCCGGUGUCUGCACAGCAUUGAUUAGAUAUACCUGAUUUUAUAACUACUUUGUGGUUAUAGAGUUUGAUUCCACACAUCACCCUUUUUUGCUGUAGGAGAGAGGUCAGAUCUGUACCUUUCUCAAAGCAGCCACAGUAGUGAUGGCCCCAAGUUCACAGUUCUUGCACUGACUGACUUGUUAAAUGUGGUUUCUCUAUUAAAGAAUGUAUCAGCAAAACUCUUCCUUUCGAAUUUUGCCUUUAAACAGAUAUAAAAUAAAUCCUGCUAUGGAGGUGCAAGUUUGUUCCCAUGAGAUCUACCCUGCAAAAUCUGCAACCAAUCAGUUGUGCUCUAUCCCACAAAAAAAAUUAGGCUAUAUCCAUCUUUCAGGAAUAAAAGAUAGGAUGUAGAAGUAGAUGGCUUAUAUUUAAAAAUUAAAAUACUUCAACUUUUAACCUCCAAAGCUGCCAGGCAAGUUGGGCUGAAAACUUACCCUUAAACAGGCAGCUGACCUCAUGCAGCAUCCUGUCUGUCCUACAGAAUCCCAUUGUUUUCUAUCUUCAGAGAGACUAAAGCCAGACUACAAUUAACAUGGAAAGUUCCCAUCUAACAACCUUUGCUACAUGACAGCCA